UGCAUCUGAGGCCAGUGAGGAUGAGAACCUCCGGGGGCAGGAGGUUCGACUCGAGCGAAGCGAGAGAACGUUGCGUCAGCAACGGCCCGCAGG
rnacentral:sRNA from 2 species